rnacentral:lncRNA from 1 species
CACCAUCGGAGUAAUCUUCAAGCCCGGAGCGUCAUCGGUGUAGAACCGGAGCAAGUUGCUCCAGCUGUUGCCACUGCUGAACCUUUGUGCUCUCCUUAGUGCCGCGGAUGGUAUCCAUCAGACCCAAGAUCCUCCUACAGCAAUGAACAAGGCGUCCAAACACUUGUAUCCUUCUCAAAUAUUCAUUCGGAAUGGUCAAGGUCAGCUAGACUGGAGCAGUUCGAUGAAGACAGCAGCAAGAUUGCACUCUCGGCAAGGUGCAAUGGCAUCUGGUUCGUCAACCAAAAUCAAUCAUAUAUGAAAUAAAACCCACAACUCAGAGCACAUGAUUUUCGGGUGUCAAAGAAAUCCCAACAGGAUAAACCCCGUGUAUUCUUGUUUUCACAGUCGACAUCUUUUGGCAGGACCAUCCUUGAGAUUAACUUCCUUGCUACUUAUACCAGAUUUCUUUAUAGCGCCUGACUCAUUCGUAUCAACAAUGAACUGGAGCCCCCCUUGAGUGAGUUCUCCUCAUACGUCACUGCUGAAUGGUGUCAUUAAGCCAAACGGGGCCUCUCUUGAACCUCACACAACCCCAAGUAAGGACUUCUUGAAUCCCCAAAAGUUGUUGGUACCUUACGCGGACAUUUUCUGGUUCAAAUUCUGUAGCUGCCAAUACCUUCUGAAGAUCUCUUUCCCAGUCUUAAGGCCUAGCGGUCUCUUUCAGGGAAAACAGAGGGCAAGAGAAUAGAAAGAGGGAACAGAGUAUGGAAGAAAAAGAAAAACAAGUAAAAAGGUCCUCAAAGAAGGCUUCACAUCAUGAGUUUUCCGAGAACCUUCUCGGGUUAGGGUG